AGACAGGCAGACAGUAGCUCCUAUUUGUCUCUGAUUCCCCUAACGACAAAGUUUGACGUCGCCGUAUCAGGUCCCGAUCCUAAGCAAGUAGUAUAGUUUUAAAUUGCAAGACAACCGAUGUCCCAAACUUUUUAUUUUUGAGAAGCCGCUACACAUAGGACACAGCCGAGUACCGCAGACUUUCUGGGAUUGCGGGGAAGGGGUCCCCCUGUGUCAGCUCGGGCCCUUGGUGUUGGCCUGCUAGGUUGCACCCCCUUUUGCACAAGAGGACAGGCCAGGAACGGCAGUCAGGUAGGCAUGUGGAGUGGGUAGGGCGAAGGAAGCUCUGGAGGAAAAACAUGCCGAACAGCCGCCAGGAAGCCCGCGUGGAGGGCGUGGGAGGCAGGCAGAGCACAGAACUAAACCAGAGAUUGACCUUCCUGGAUUAUCAAAGACCCGGGCGGGGACUGUGCAAGCUGUCAAGCAACUUUCCAAAGGAGAGGUGGCUGAGGGUUGAGGGUGGAGCGUGGACAAGAUCCAUUCCUGCACCUGGAAUGUACACAUGUGAUGAUCCGGAAGCUCUUUAGCUUCUCUACCCAAAGCCCUACCCCACUUAAGACCCAUAUUGUGAGCAUUACAUCGGACCUGUGUGGACACCAGCUCCAACUGUUAAUACUUCCCAGGAAAGCAUGUGGGUGUGGAGGGUUAAUUUCCUGUUCUCAAUAAACUGCCCACUAGGCAUUUCCCACAUCUUUAAUCAAGUAGGUGAUGGCCACUUUGGCAAUACCACUUUGGAGUUUUGCUUCAGAAAUGCUUUCCUAAUAUCCUUAGGCACCACACCUUCUGACCACUGAUAUUCCCUAAUGCCUGGUGGCACCUAAGAAACUAGGUCUUACCAAACCGGUUAAGGAUAAGAUAAGUGUAAUCAAACAGUAAUCAGGCAACUACUUACUGUUAACUGCCUCAUACAUUUUUAUCUUUUCAAUACUUUUGCUUAUAGUAAGAUUACAUAUGUAUUAAAUUCUCAAAGAAGUGGUUUGCUCUGAGUGUCUGUUGAUUAAAAGAUAUUGGAAAAUGACCAUCUCUUCACCAAUACAAGAAGCGUUUCAAUUGUCUAAACUUUAAUUAUUUUAAAGCAUCAGUAAUAUGAGUGUAUCACGUGAAUUACUGCCCUAUGAGUGAGUGCCUUUCAUUGGAUUUCCUCGAGAUGGAUCUACCUUAAGACUGUGGUAUCUUGAGAAUUAAACUCCUGGCUGUCAAUGUCGUUCCGUGGAUAAGCACCCUGCUUUCCUUGUUUAAGGGAGAGAAUACUAAUGAGCUGUGAAAUGACCAAAAAUCAGGCAGCAGAAGGGAAAAGAAGAAAUAACGGGUUUGAUGAGUUGAAGUCCCUUCAAGCUGGUUCCUGAGUCCUUUUGAUCAUUUUUUGGAGUAUUUCCUCACUCUCUGGGACAAGAAGAUAUUCCAGGAUCUCAUACUUUCCCUGCCCCAAGUGUAUAAUCAGCCUUUUCCCCAAGGAGCUCUGAUUCUUUUUGUUGGAGAAUGAUAUUAAAUAAUAUUUAGAAACCAA